CCUGGUCUGGCUGCUUAUAAUGCUUUUACAAUCUCAACAAUUUCGACACAUCAAAGUGGUGAAAUGCAUCACAUAAUGCUGUUUGUGUGCGGCUGGAAGCUAAAAACAACAGCUGAGAUUAUUUCUGAGAUAUCUACCUCUUACAUUUGGGCCUGAAAGCCCAAUACAAUACAAUAUACAAUGGAGGAAAUAGUUAUCUGUGGAGUUUGGGGUGAAGGCAGACAUUUUAGAGUUGGAUAUCUCAAAACCUGACUAGAUACCACAAGAG